rnacentral:rRNA from 1 species
UGGGGAAUUUUGGACAAUGGGCGAAAGCCUGAUCCAGCAAUGCCGCGUGUGUGAAGAAGGCCUUCGGGUUGUAAAGCACUUUUGUCCGGAAAGAAAUCCUUGGCUCUAAUACAGUCGGGGGAUGACGGUACCGGAAGAAUAAGCACCGGCUAACUACGUGCCAGCAGCCGCGGUAAUACGUAGGGUGCAAGCGUUAAUCGGAAUUACUGGGCGUAAGCGUGCGCAGGCGGUUUGCUAAGACCGAUGUGAAAUCCCGGGCUCAACCUGGGAACUGCAUUGGUGACUGGCAGGCUAGAGUAUGGCAGAGGGGGGUAGAAUUCCACGUGUAGCAGUGAAAGUGCGUAGAGAUGUGGAGGAAUACCGAUGGCGAAGGCAGCCCCCUGGGCCAAUACUGACGCUCAUGCACGAAAGCGUGGGGGAGCAAACAGGAUUAGAUACCCGUGGUAGUCCACGCCCUAAACGAUGUCAACUAGUUGUUGGGGAUUCAUUUCCUUAGUAACGUAGCUAACGCGUGAAGUUGACCGCCUGGGGAGUACGGUCGCAAGAUU